CUACUUUUAUUGGUUGUGGUGCUGAUUUGCAUAAAAUAGGUUGCCGGAAUUGGGUAAAGAGACACCAAUCACUUGCAAGAAACACACCACUGGAUAUGCAUUUUUUCCUGAUUUCCCACCUCAGACCGAACCCAGUUGCAGACAAAGUGGCUUGAAAGGACCUCAACUACUCAUAGUAAAAUCAUGGUUUAAUCAAUCAACCAGAAACUAUACACUUCUUGGAUUCCCGUUUAACAACCAUAUGUAUUUGGAGAAAUUAGGACAAGCGACUCCCUGGAGGGCUCUGAAAUCAUGUCAGUCAGCGUCCACGAAAACCGUAAGUCCCGGACCAGCACGGGCUCCAUGAACAUCUCUCUGUUCCAUAAGCCCUCGCAUCCAGACAGCGUGCUCACCCACCUCAACACCCUCCGCAAGCAGUGCAUGUUCACUGACGUGACGCUGUGGGCGGGGGACCGCUCCUUCCCCUGCCAUCGGGCGGUACUGGCCGCAUGCAGCCGCUACUUUGAGGCGAUGUUCAGCGGCGGGCUCCGUGAGAGCCUGGACAACGAGGUGAACUUCAGAGACAGUGUGCAUCCAGAGGUGUUGGAGCUGCUGCUGGACUUUGCCUACUCGUCACGUGUCAUCAUCAACGAGAAGAACGCAGAGUCGUUGCUGGAGGCGGGAGACAUGCUGCAGUUCCACGACAUCCGAGACGCUGCUGCGGCGUUUCUGGAGAAGAACCUGCACUUGUCCAACUGCCUGGGUAUGAUGCUACUGUCUGAUGCCCACCAGUGCAAACAGCUGUAUGAGCUCUCCUGGAGGAUGUGCCUGGUGCACUUUGAGGCGUUGCGGGACACAGAGGACUUCUACGGCCUCAACAAAGACAAGCUGCUGGACCUGAUCCUCAGCGACGAGCUGGAGAUCGAGGACGAGCAUAUCGUGUUCAACUCUGUGAUGCGCUGGGUACGCUACGACCUGGACGGCCGCAGAGACUACCUCCCUGAGCUGCUGGGUGGAAUCCGCCUGGCCCUGCUACCCUCUGAGUGUCUGAUCGAGGCGGUGGCCUGCGAGGAGCUGGUGAUGUCAGACAAGAGGAGCCGGCAGAUAGUGGAGGAGGCCAUGCAGUGCAAGAAGAUCCUGCAAAACGAUGGGGUGGUCACCAGCCCCUGUGCCCGGCCCCGCAAGGCAGGCCACACACUGCUCAUCUUGGGAGGACAGACCUUCAUGUGUGAUAAGAUCUACCAGGUGGACCACAAAGCCAAGGAGAUCAUUCCUAAGUCGGACUUGCCCAGUCCCAGGAAGGAGUUCAGCGCCUGUGCAAUUGGCUGUAAGGUCUACGUGACUGGGGGGAGGGGUUCUGAGAACGGGGUGUCCAAGGAUGUUUGGAUCUAUGACACGGUCCACGAGGAGUGGUCUAAAGGAGCUCCCAUGUUGAUAGCACGGUUUGGCCAUGGUUCGGCUGAACUGGAGAACUGGCUGUAUGUGGUGGGUGGCCACACUGCCAUAGCAGGCAUCUUCCCUGCCUCCCCCUCAGUCUCCCUCAAACAGGUAGAGCGGUAUGACCCACUCACCAACAAAUGGACCAUGAUGGCGCCGCUCAGAGAUGGUGUUAGCAAUGCAGCUGUGGUCAGCGCCAAGCUAAAGCUGUUUGUUUUUGGUGGCACCACCAUACACAGAGACAAGGCCUCCAAGGUGCAGUGCUACGACCCUCUAGAGAACCGCUGGGCCAUCGCAGCAGAAUGUCCACAACCGUGGAGAUAUACAGCCGCUGCUGUUCUGGGCAGCCAGAUCUUCAUAAUGGGCGGAGACACGGAGUUCACCGCCGCCUCCGCCUACCGCUUUGACUGUGAGACCAACCAGUGGUCUCGUGUUGGGGACAUGACUUCUAAAAGAAUGAGCUGCCAUGCGGUGGCCUCUGGGAACAAACUGUACGUUGUGGGGGGCUACUUUGGGACGCAGCGCUGCAAGACUCUAGACUGUUAUGACCCCACGUCUGAUAGCUGGAACAGUAUAACCACAGUGCCUUACUCACUAAUUCCCACUGCGUUCGUAAGCACCUGGAAACAUCUACCUGCCUAGCAGCCUUGACGUGAACAAGGAGUGGUCUCCAGAACUGGAUGCUAAAGGUCAGUGGGAUAAAGUUGUGAUGGACAAACUUCUGGAUGACGAUCGUGCCAUGCAAUGCUGACUCUCUCUGAAAAUAACACGUUUUGAAAUCGGUGGAACACAACCGGCCAAACAAGCUGUGCGAGCUAAACGGAAACACAGGGGUUGUAGUCUGCCAUGAAGCUUUCAUCCAUUUAUACAGGGACUAAAGAGGGCACCUGAUUUGGCAUUUCACACAUUUGCUUAGCAGGAGGAAACAGUCAUGCUUGACUCGUUUGGAGGUUGAAGGAGAUCCCACCCUGACACCUGGCCAGAUGUAAAGAACUUGAACCUCCCCAGCCACCAGGACAAUCACCAUAUCCCAGGAUUUUUUUCAGGGGGGUGUGCAACAUCACAAUGUUAGAUACUUACUUACUGCACUGUUGGAGCUAGAAGCAUAAGCAUUUCGCUUCACCAGCUAUAACAUCUGCUAAUCUGUGACCAAUAAACUUUUAUUUGAUAUAGAAAUAGAUUCAUCCAUGUUAUUUAUCAUGCAGAUUGUUCAGGUCAUUGUAAUUUAUGACGCUCAUUCUAAAAUACAGAUUUGACUUCUGGGGAAUUGCACUGUGUGCAAGUCUUACAUUUAGACCAUAAUUAGUUGAUUGAGGUGUGGUGAAGGGCUGGAACAAAAACCUGUAAACUCCUAUGUAUAAAAACAUUUUAAAAACCUGUGGAUGUCAUGACAAAAUUUGCCCUCAUCUACUGAACAAGAUUAUGAAUGUUGGAGGUUAAUCUCAGUGAUGUCCCUCACUGGGGAAUGACUUAUACUGUGCUCAAAAUGUGAGAGAAAUACGAUUUUUGUGCGUAUGGAAAAUUUCUGGGAUCUUUUAUUGCAACUCAUGAAACAUGGGACCAACACUUUACAUGUUGUGUUUUAUAUUUUUAAGUGUACAUUUUUGCAAUUGUAUUAAAAAACAAACCUUAUACAUUUUUAAAAAAUAAACAGAAAUACCGUAUUUACAAAGUAUUCACACCCGUUGCUAUGACACUCGAAAUUGAGCUCAGGUGCAUCCUGUUUCUAUUGAUCAUCUUUGAUGUUUCUACAACUUGGAGUCUACCUGUGAUUAAUUGAAUUGAUUGGAAAUGAUUUGGAAAGGCACACACCUGUAUGUAAGGUCCCACAGUUGACAGUGCAUGUCAGCGCAAAAACCAAGCCAUGAGGUUGAAGGAAUUGUCCUUAGAGCUCAGAGACAGGAUUGUGUCGAGGCACAGAUCUGGGGAGGGGUACCAAAAUGUGCCUGCAGAAUUGAAGGUCCCCAAGAACACAGUGGCCUCCAUUCUUAAAUGGAAUAAGUUUGGAACCACCAAGACUCUUCCUAGAGUUGUCCGCCUGGCCAAACUGAGCAGUUGGGGGAGAAGGGUCUUGGUCAGGGAGGUGACCAAGAACCCAAUGGUCACUGACAGAGCGCCAGAGAUCCUCUGUGGAGAUGGGAGAACCUUCCAGAAGGACAACCAUCUCUGCAGCACUCCACCAAAGUCAGGCCUUUAUGGUAGAGUGGCCAGACGGAAGCCACUCUUCAGUAAAAGGCACGACAGCCCGCUUGGAGUUUGCCAAUAGGCACCUAAAGACUCUCAGACCAUGAGAAACAAGAUUCUCUGCUCUGAUGAAACCAAGAUUAAACUCUUUGGCCUGAAUGCCAAGCGGCACGUCUGAAAGAAACAUGGCACCAUCCCUACGGUGAAGCAUGGUGGUGGCAGCAUCAUGCUUUGGGGAUGUUUUCAAAUCAAAUUUUAUUUGUCACGUGCUGAAUACAACAGAUGUAGACCUUACAGUGAAAUGCUUAUGUACAAGCCCUUAGCCAACAAUGCAGUGAAGAAUAUACCUUAAAAAAGGUAAAUAAUUAAAGAGCAGCAGUAAAAUAACAAUAGCGAGGCUAUAUACAGGGGGCACCGGUACAGAGUCAAUGUGCGGUUAGUUGAGGUAAUAUGUACAUGUAGGUAGAGUUAUUAAAGUGACUAUGCAUAGAUAAUAACAGAGUAGCAGCAGUGUAGAAGGAGGGGAGGGGGGGGGGUGCAAAAAGUCUGUAGCCAUUUUAUUAGAUGUUCAGGAGUCUAAUGGCAUGGGGGUAGAAGCUGUUUAGAAGCCCUUGAACCUAGACCUAGCUGUGCGGUAGCAGAGAGAACAGUCAAUGACUAGGGUGGCUGGAGUCUUUGACAAUUUGUAGGGCCUUCCUCUGACACCACCUGGUCUAGAGGUCCUGGGUGGCAGGAAGCUUGGCCCCGGUGAUGUACUGGGCUGUGCGCACUACAGUCUGUAGUGCCUUGCGUUCAGAGGCCUGGGACUGAGAGACUAGUCAGGAUCGAGGCAAAGAUGAACGGAGCAAAGUACAGAGAGAUCCUUGAUGAAAACCUGUUCCAGAGCACUCAGACUUGGGUGAAGGUUCACCUUCCAACAGGACAACGACCCUAAGAACACAGCCAAGACAAUGCAGGAGUGGCUUUGAGACAAGUCUGAAUGUCCUUGAGUGGCCCAGCCAGAGCCCGGACUUGAACCUCGAAAAUCUCUGAAGAGACCUGAAAAUAGCUGUGCAGCAACGCUCCCCAUCCAACCUGACAGCGCUUCUUUAUCUGCAGAGGAGAAUGGGAGAAACUCCCCAAAUACAGGUGUGCCAAGCUUAUAGUGUCAUACCCAAGACGACUCUAGGCUGUAAUCGCUGCCAAAGGUCCUUCAACAAAGUACUGAAUAAAGGGUCUGAAUACCUAUGUAAAUCUGAUAUUUCCAAAAAUGUCUAAACCUGUUUUUGCUUUGUCGCUAUGGGGUAUUGUGUGUAGAUUGAAGUGGGAAAAACAUUUUAAUCCGUUUUAAAGUUUGGACACACCUACUCAUUCAAGGGUUUUUCUUUAUUUUUACUAUUUUCUACAUUGUAGUAACCAAAAAAGUGUUAAACAAAUCAAUAUAUUUUGUAUUUGAAAUUCUUCAAAGUAGCCACCCUUUGCCUUGACAGCUUUGCACACUCUUGGCAUUCUCUUAAUCAGCUUGGCCUGGAAUGCUUUUCAAACAGUCUUGAAGGACUUCCCACAUAUGCUGAGCAGUUGUUGGUUGCUUUUCCUUCACUCUGCGGUCCAAUUCUUCACAAACCAUCUCAAUUGGGUUGAGGUUGGGUGAUUGUGGAGGCCAGGACAAUGACCCAACACACCUCCAGGCUGUGUAAGGGCUAUUUGACCAAGAAGGAGAGUGAUGGAGUGCUGCAUCAAAUUACCUGUUGAAAAACAAAUAAUAGUGCCGCUGACCGCAAACCAGAUGGGAUGGCGGAUCGCUACAGAAUGCUGUGGUAGCCAUCCUGGUUAAGUGUGCCUUGAAUUCUAAAUCAAUCACAGACAGUGUCACCAGCAAAGCACCAUCACACCUCCUGCUUCACGGUGGGAACCACACAUGCGGAGAUCAUCCGUUCACCUACUUUGCAUCUUACAAAGACACAGCGGUUGGAACCAGCAGGUAUAUUUCACUUGUCAUCCCCAAAGCCAACUCCUCCUUUGGCCGCCUUUCCUUACAGUUCUCUGCUGCCAGUGACUGGAACGAAUUGCAAAAAUCACUGAAGCUGGAGUCUUAUAUCUCUCUCACUAUCUUUAAGCAUCAGCUGUCAGCAGCUUACCGAUUAUUGCACCUGUACACAGCCCUUCUGUAAAUAGACUACCCAACUACCUCCUCCCCAUAUUAUUAUUUUUUUGCUAAUUUCCACACCAUUAUCGCUGCUUGCACAUUCAUCUUCUGCUCAUCUAUCACUCCAGUGUUAAUGCUAAAUUGUAAUUAUUUCGCCACUAUGGCCCAUUUAUUGCCUUACCUCCCUAAUCUUACUACAUUUGCACACACUGUAUAUAUAUUUUUCUAUUGUGUUAUUGACUGUACGUUUGUUUAUCCCAUGUGAAACUCUGUGUUGUUUGUGUUGCACUGCUUUGCUUUAUCUUGGCCAGGUCGCAGUGGUAAAUGAGAACUUGUUCUCAACUGGCCUACCUGGUUAAUAAAGGUGAAAUAAAAAUAAAAUAAGAAAAAUAAUCUCAAAUUUGAACUCAUCAGACCAAGGACAGAUUUCCACUAGUCUAAUGUUCAUUGCUUGUGUUUCUUGACUCAAGCAAGUUUCUUCUUCUUAUUGGUGUCCUUUAGUAGUGGUUUCUUUGCAGCAAUUCGACCGUGAAGGCCUGAUUCCCGCAGUCUCCUCUUAACAGUUGAUGUUGAGAUGUCUGUUACUUGAACUUUGAAGCAUGUAGAUGGGCUGCAAUUUCUGAGGCUGGUAUCUAACUUACUCUGGUUCUUCCUUUCCUGUGGCGGCUCAUGAGAGCCAGUUUUUCAUAGCAGUUGAUGGUUUUUGCAACUGCACUUGAAGAAACUUUCCGCAUUGACUGACCUUUAUGUCUUAAAGUAAGGAUGGACUGUUGUUUCUCUUUCCUUAUUUGAGCUGUUCUUGCCAUAAUAUGGACUUGGUAUUUUACCAAAUAGGGCCAUCUGUACAUGACCCCUGCCUUGUCACAACACAAUUUAUUGGCUCGAACGCAUUCAGAAGGAAAGAAAUUCCACAAAUUAACAUUUAACAAGGCACACCUGUUAAUUGAAAUGCAUUCCAGGUGACUUCCUCAUGAAGCUGGUUGAGAGAAUGCCAAGACGGUGCAAAGCGGUCAUCAAGGCAAAGGGUGGCUACUUUUGAAGAAUCUCAAAUAAAAUAUUUUGAUUUGUGGUACACUUGUUUGGUUACUACAUGAUUCCAUGUGUUAUUUCAUAGUUUCAAUGUCUUCACUAUUAUUCUACAAUGUAGAAAAUAGUAAAAAUAAAGAAAACCCUUGAAUGAGUAGGUGUGUCCAAACUUUUGACUGGUUGUGCUUAAGACCGAUACAAUAAGACCACACAUUGGCAGAAUAAAAUUAACCACACAUUUUGUUUCAUCACAAAACGAGUCUUCAAAGCAUUUUGCAUGUAACAAACAGUUACAUGACCUACAGCAUGGUCAAACAAGUACAUUCUUCCGACAUUUUCAGACUACUAAACAAUUAUUGAUUUAGAACCACGGAAUUACUGCAAGUAGCAAAAGCAAGAGCUGCCUCCACUAUUUCAGCAACAUUUCAACAUCAAAUCACCUAUGCUAAUAAGUCUUAUACAGUGCCAACUGAAAGAUACCAAAAACAAUUUAGUCCAAUCAACAUAAGAUAAAUAUGCGUGUGCAUGCACGCAAAUAGAAAAAACAUGUUGACGAAAUGGUCUAUGACUGUCAUAUAUUUUUUGUCCUAGGCUACCUGGCUAAAGUGCUUGCUUGCUAUCCUAACUUCCUUUCAUGGGCACAAUGAGCCAACUUGUUAACAUUAGCCUACUACAUCUAGCUACAUAUUGAACUCCCAUCCUAUCAAGCCAGGGGCACAAUGUAUGAAUUUAUGGUUGGAUAAGAACUGUGUUUAUAAUCAUUGGCCAGUACGGAGAAUUAAGUAAAACCACGAUUCCAAAUCCCUAUCCCCAUCCAUGGCUAGUUUAGAAAAGGGCCAUUUUUAGAUAGCUAGUUAACCACCUGGGGACAACGAGAUUCAACAAUUCUCAUUUAUUUUCUGUCAAUGAUGUUUGGUAUUUUGACGUGAUUCGAUUGGUGAAGACAAAUCCAAACUGGUUUCCCAUUACACUUUAAUUUUUUUUGUGCACCAGGAUCAUUCAUACAUAGUUGAGCUCUCUCAGUUUAGCUCAACACUGAUUGGCUAUUAUUUUAUACUUUUUUUAUCAAGAGAGGCCAAAUGCUUGCUGGCUUGACUUGCAUUCAGUGCUAAGUGCGCAAAAAAUGUCACUAUUUUUGACCUGACAGCAUCAGAUAGGUGGCCUACACAUACUGAGUCAGAGGGGCGCUGUUUCGCUUGCUUGGAUGCUUUCACCGGUGAGACGUUCAGGUGAAAGAAAAUUAUGAAACAGACAAAAUAUUUAUUUUUUCUUGAUCAAUUUCUUGGGUGAACCUGGCUUUCUUUGGCAUCCAUGUCACUGAUUUUUCGAGGUAGGAAUAUCACAAAAAUAUAAUCAAUGUCUCAUUAUAGAAAAGACAUUGGCCUGUAUUGAAAUCUGACAUGUAUAAUGGAUAUUUUUGAGAUCUUAAAGUAAUCAUACUAUUAACUUGCAGAGUAGUGGGAGUGGCUUCAUCACAAUGCUACCUCAUGCCAGGUUUAUUCCGGCCUGCGUGAACGGGAAGAGCUUGUGAAACACAUGAAAACAUGAAAUUAUCCUAGGAAUCGAUAUGCCCAAAAACGAUAUAACAUUCCAAAUGGUUGAAUCUUUCUUUUAAUGCCUUUGCACUCUCAAAGGGAAAUGAUUAGCAUUCAGUUGGAGUGCAGUGAAAACAUGUCAAGGUUACGUGGAGAGAAUUAACGGUGCUUAGCUUGGAAAGCUGCGUCAAUGGAAAUAAAUUCAUUAGGCCCUAAUCUAUGGAUUUCACAUGAUUGGGGACACAGUUAAGCAACAGAUAAGUUCACAGAUACCUUAAAAAAAGGUAGGGGCGUGGAUAAGAAAACCAGUCAGUAUCUGGUGUGACUACCAUUUGGCUCGUACAGCGAGAUACAUCUUCACACAAAUUUGAUCAGGCUGUUGAUUGUGGCCUGUGGAAUGUUGUCCCACUCCUCUGCAAUGGCUGGGCGAAGUUGCUGGAUAUUGGCGGGAACUGGAUCACGCUGUCAUACACAUUGAUCGAGAGCAUCCCAAACAUGCUCAAUGGGUGACAUGGCUGGUAACUAUUCAGGCCCUCGAAGAACUGGGACAUUUUCAGCUUCCCGGAAUUGUGUACAGAUCCUUGCAAAAUGGAUUCAUGAAUUAUGCUGAAACAUGAGGUGAUGGCAGAGGAUGAAUGGCACUACAAUGGGCAUCCGCAUCUUGUCACGGUAUCUAUUGUGUUUGUUGUCCGUAGUUUAUGCCUGCCGGUUGAACGUACUGCCAAAUUAUCUAAAAUUACGUUGGAGGCGGCCUAUGGUAGAGAAAUGAACAUUAAAUCAUUUGCCAACAGCUCUGGUAGACAUCCCUGCAGUCAGCAUGCCAACUGUACGCCCCUCAACUUGAGACAUCUGUGGCAUUGUGUUGUGUGACACGACUGCACAUUUUAGACUGGUCUUUUAUUUUCCCCAGCACAAGGUGCACCUGUGUAAUGAUCAUGCCGUUUAAUCAGCUUCUUCAUAUGCCACACCUGUCAAGUGGAUAAAUUAUCUUGGCAAAGGAGGAAUGCUCACUAACAGGGAUGUAUACAAAUUUGUGCACAACAUUUGAUAGAAAUUAGCUUUUUGUGCGUAUGGAAAAUAUUUUAUUUAAUCUCAUGAAACAUGGGACCAAGUCUUUACAUGUUGUUUAUAUUUUUGUUCAGUGUAAGUCAAAACUGUAGCCAGGCCACCCAGGAAAUUUCAAUGUCAUCUUGGUAAGCAACCAAAUUGUUUAAAUUGAGAUUUUGUGUCACUGGCCUACACACAAUAUCCCAAAAUAUGAAAAUAAUGUGGAAUGUGGCUUGUUAUGGCAAGCCUAAAAAAAGUUCAGAAGUAAAUCUUUGCUUAACAAGUCACAUAAUAAGUUGCAUGGACUCACUCUGUGUACAAUAAUAGUGUUUAACAUGAUAUCUGAAUGAUUACCUCAUCUACAGUUGAAGUCGGAAGUUUACAUACACCUUAGCCAAAUACAUUUAAACUCAGUUUUUGACAAUUCCUGACAUUUAAUCCAAGUAAAAAUUCCCUGUUUUAGGUCAGUUAGGAUCACCUCUUCAUUUUAAGAAUGUGAAAUGUCAGAAUAAUAGUAUAGAGAAUGAUUUAUUUCAGCUUUUAUUUCUUUCAUCACAUUCCCAGUGGGUCAGAAGUUUACAUACACUCAAUUAGUAUUUGGUAGCAUUGCCUUUAAAUUGUUUACCUUGGGUCAAAUGUUUCGGGUAGCCUUCCACAAGCUUCCCCCAAUACGUUGGGUGAAUGUUGGCCCAUUCCUCCUGACAGAGCUGGUGUAACUGAGCUAGGUUUGUAGGCCUCCUUGCUCGCACACGCAUUUUCAGUUCUGCCGACAAAUUUUCUAUAGGAUUGAGGUCAGGGCUUUGUAAUGGCCACUCAAUACCUUGACUUUGUUGUCUUUAAGCCAUUUUGCCACAACUUUGGAAGUAUGCUUGGGGUCAUUGUCCAUUUGGAAGACCCAUUUGCAACCAAGCUGUAACUUCCUGACUGAUGUCUUGAGAUGUUGCUUCAAUAUAUCCACAUAAUUGUUUUUCCUCAUGAUGCCAUCUAUUUUGUGAAGUGCACCAGUCCCUCCUGCAGCAAAGCACUCCCACAUGAUGAUGCUGCCACCCCCGUGCUUCAUGGUUGGGAUGGUGUUCUUCGGCUUGCAAGCCUCCCCCUUUUUCCUCCAAACAUAACAAUGGUCAUUAUGGCCAUACAGUUCUAUUUUUGUUUCAUCAGACCAGAGGACAUUUCUCCAAAAAGUACGAUCUUUGUCCCCAUGUGCAGUUGUAAACCGUAGUCUGUUUUUUUAUGGCGGUUUUGGAGCAGUGGCUUCUUCCUUGCUGAGCGGUCUUUCAGGUUAUGUUGAUAUAGGAUUCGUUUUACUGUGGAUAUAGAUACUUUUGUACCUAUUUCCUCCAGCAUCUUCACAAGGUCCUUUGCUGUUGUUCUGGGGUUGAUCUGCACCUUUCGUAACCAAAGUACGUUCAUCGCUAGGAAAAAGAACGCAUCUCCUUCUUGAGCAGUAUGACGGCUGCGUGGUCCCAUGGUCUUUAUACUUGCGUACUAUUGUUUGUACAGAUGAACGUGGUACCUUCAGGUGUUUGGAAAUUGCUCCCAAGGAUGAACCAGACUUGUGGAGGUCUACAAUUGUUUUUCUGUGGUCUUGGCUGAUUUCUUUUGAUUUUCCCAUGAUGUCAAGCAAAGAGGCACUGAGUUUGAAGGUACACCUCCUAUUGGCUCAAAUUGACUCAAAUGAAGUCAAUUAGUCUAUCAGAAGCUUCUAUUGCCAUGGCAUAAUUUUCUGGAAUUUUCCAAGCUGUUUAAAGGAACAGUCAACUUAGUGCAUGUAAACUUCUGACCCACUGGAAUUGUGAUACAGUGAAUUAUAAGUGAAAUAAUCUGUCUGUUAACAAUUCUUGGAAAAAUGACUUGUGUCAUGCACAAAGUAGAUGUCCUAACCAACUUGCCAAAACUAUAGUUUGUUAACAAGAAAUUUGUGGAGUGGUUGAAAAACGAGUUUUAAUGACUCCAACCUAAGUGUAUGUAAACUUCCGACUUCAACUGUAGAGUUCCUCAGUCGAGCAGUGAGUUUCAAACACAGAUUCAACCACAAGACCAGGGAGGUCUUCCAAUGCCUCAGAAAGGGCAGCUAAAAAAAUGAAUGCAGACAUUUAAUAUCCCUUUUGAGCAUGGUGAAGUUAAUAAUUACACUUUGGAUGGUGGAUCAAUACACCCAGUCACUACAAAGAUGCAGGUGUCCUUCCUAACUCAGUUGCUGAAGAGGAAGGAAACCGCUCUGGGAUUUCAUCAUGAGGCCAAUGAGGACCUUAGAAAAGUUAGAGUCAAAUUGGCUGUGAUAUGACAAAAUGGAUGAUGGAUCAACAAAUUUGUAAUUUCUAAACUAUACUAACCGAAUUGACAGCCUGAAAAGGAAGCCUGUACAGAAUAAAAAUAUUCCAAAACAUGCAUCUUGUUUGCAAUAGGGCACUAAAGUAAAAAUGCAAAAAAUGUGGCAAAGCAAUUCAUUUUAUGUUCUGAAUACAAAACCUUAUGUUUGGGUAAAAUCACUGAGUACAACUUUUCAUAUUUCCAAGCAUGGUGGUGGCUUCAUCAUGUUAUGGGUAUGCUUGUCAUCGGCAAGCUUUUUUUAAUAUAUAUAAAUCGAGGUAAACAGGUAAAAUCCUAGAGGAAAACCUGGUUGUGUGCUUUCCAACAGACACUGGGAGACAUUCACUUUUCAUUAGGACAAUAACCUAAACACAAGGCCAAAUGUACACUGUACACUGGAAUUGAAUGUUACUGACUGGCCUAAUUACAGUUUUGACUUAAAUCGGCUUGAAAAUCUACGGCAAGACUUAAAUGGCUGUCUAUCAAUUUAUAAACAACCAACUUGACAGAACUUGAAGAAUGUUAAAAAUAAUAUUGUACAAUCCUGGUGUGCAAAGCUCUUAGAGACUUACCCAGAAAGACCCACAGCUGUAAUCGUUGCCAACGGUAAUUGUAACAUGAAUGGAGUCAGGGGUAUUGAAUGCUUAUGUAAAUGAGAUAUUUCUGUUUUUCAUUUUCAAUAAAUUUGCAAAACAUGUCAACUA